rnacentral:rRNA from 1 species
GAUGAACGCUGGCGGCGUGCCUAAUACAUGCAAGUCGAGCGAAGCGGGGACGGGUGAGUAACACGUGGAUAACCUCCUAUCAGAAUGGGAUAACUUAGGGAAACCGGAGCUAGACCGGAUACUUCUAUAUGGAUCCGCGCUGCAUUAGCUAGUUGGAAAGGUAACGGCUUACACAGGCAACGAAGCAUACACGACCUGGGAGGGGAAUCAGCCACACUGGAACUGCGAAACGUGCCAGAAGCAUACGGGAGGCAGUAGUAGGGAAGCUUCCGCAAGGGGCGAAAGCCUGACGGAGCAACGCCGCGUGAGUGAUGAAGUUCAGCGGAUCGUAAAAGUCUGUUAUUAGGGAAGCGGUACCUAAUCAGAGAGCGACGGUUAACUAAGUGCUAGUAGCCGCGGUAAUAA